rnacentral:rRNA from 1 species
CCUACGGGUGGCUGCAGUAGGGAAUCUUUCACAAUGGGCGAAAGCCUGAUGGAGCAACGUCGCGUGCAGGAUGAAGGCCCUCUGGUUUUUAACUGCCUUUUUAACCGAGAAAUAUGUUGGUAACUUAUGAAUAAGGCUCGGCUAACUACGUGCCAGCAGCCGUGGUCAUACGUAGGAUGCGCGCAUUAUCCGGAGUGACCGGGUGUAAAGAGUUGCGUAUGUGGUGUAAUGAGUAGCUAGUGAAAUCUGGUGGCUCAACCAUUCAGACUAUUAGCUAAACUGGUAAGCUCGAGACCGUUAGGGGUAACUGGAAUUUCUGGUGUAGGAGUGAAAUCCGUAGAUAUUAGAAAGAACACCGAUAGCGUAGGCAGGUUGCUGGGACGGUUCUAACACUAAGGCACGAAAGCGUAGGGAGCAAACGGGAUUAGAUACCCCUGUAGUC